UACGGAGGGUGCAAGCGUUAUCCGGAUUCACUGGGUUUAAAGGGUGCGUAGGAGGGCAGGUAAGUCAGUGGUGAAAUCUCCAAGCUUAACUUGGAACUGCCGUUGACACUAUCUGUCUUGAAUACCGUGGAGGUGAGCGGAAUAUGUCAUGUAGCGGUGAAAUGCUUAGAUAUGACAUAGAACACCAACUGCGAAGGCAGCUCGCUACACGAAUAUUGACUCUGAGGCACGAAAGCGUGGGGAUCAAACAGG
rnacentral:rRNA from 1 species